UGCAAGUCGAGCGGAGUGAUGGUGCUUGCACUAUCACUUAGCGGCGGAAGGGUGAGUAAUGCUUAGGAAUCUGCCUAUUAGUGGGGGACAACAUUUCGAAAGGAAUGCUAAUACCGCAUACGUCCUACGGGAGAAAGCAGGGGAUCUUCGGACCUUGCGCUAAUAGAUGAGCCUAAGUCGGAUUAGCUAGUUGGUGGGGUAAAGGCCUACCAAGGCGACGAUCUGUAGCGGGUCUGAGAGGAUGAUCCGCCACACUGGGACUGAGACACGGCCCAGACUCCUACGGGAGGCAGCAGUGGGGAAUAUUGGACAAUGGGCGCAAGCCUGAUCCAGCCAUGCCGCGUGUGUGAAGAAGGCCUUAUGGUUGUAAAGCACUUUAAGCGAGGAGGAGGCUACUGAAGUUAAUACCUUCAGAUAGUGGACGUUACUCGCAGAAUAAGCACCGGCUAACUCUGUGCCAGCAGCCGCGGUAAUACAGAGGGUGCAAGCGUUAAUCGGAUUUACUGGGCGUAAAGCGCGCGUAGGCGGCUAAUUAAGUCAAAUGUGAAAUCCCCGAGCUUAACUUGGGAAUUGCAUUCGAUACUGGUUAGCUAGAGUGUGGGAGAGGAUGGUAGAAUUCCAGGUGUAGCGGUGAAAUGCGUAGAGAUCUGGAGGAAUACCGAUGGCGAAGGCAGCCAUCUGGCCUAACACUGACGCUUAGGUGCGAAAGCAUGGGGAGCAAACAGGAUUAGAUACCCUGGUAGUCCAUGCCGUAAACGAUGUCUACUAGCCUUUGGGGCCUUUGAGGCUUUAGUGGCGCAGCUAACGCGAUAAGUAGACCGCCGGGGGAGUACGGUCGCAAGACUAAAACUCAAAUGAAUUGACGGGGGCCCGCACAAGCGGUGGAGCAGGUGGUUUAAUUCGAUGCAACGCGAAGAACCUUACCUGGCCUUGACUAGUAGGAACUUUCCCGAGAUGGAUUGGUGCCUUCGGGAACUUACAUACGGUGCUGCAGGGCUGUCGUCAGCUCGUG
rnacentral:rRNA from 1 species